UACAGGGGGUGCAAACGUUGCUCGGAAUUAUUGGGCGUAAAGCGCACGUAGGCGGUUUUGUAAGCCAGAUGUGAAAGCCCCGGGCUUAACCUGGGAAUGGCAUUUGGGACUGCAAGGCUGGAGUGUGGCAGAGGAGACUGGAAUUCCUGGUGUAGCAGUGAAAUGCGUAGAUAUCAGGAGGAAUACCGAUGGCGAAGGCAGGUCUCUGGGCUGACACUGACGCUCAUGCACGAAAGCGUGGGGAGCAAACGAGG
rnacentral:rRNA from 1 species